GAAAAAACAUUGCGACCUAAUUCUAUUCUCUUCUUCUCUUUAUUCUUCAUAUCCAUUACCAUUAUUACGUCUCUCUGCAGCGCUUUUCUUUUUGAGCUUAUUUUUCUCACGGAAACAGUCUUCACGGGAAGUUGCAGUUUUUGUUUCAGGGUUUUAGGAAGAAAAGCAUAAUCAGAAAGAUGAUGAGGAGGAAUAUAAGAAAAAACCCUAGAAGGAUUUUAUUAUUCUCCCUUUCUUCUUGAUUCAAUUAAGCUUCCAUGAUGGGUUUUUUAGUUUGCUUUUUAGGGUUUGAAGCUUAGCAUUCUACUCCAGUACUUUUUUUCUCCUGCCUCUCUACUUCUGUCCUCGAUCUAUCUAAUCCCUCCCUUUCUUCUUUGUUUAUAGCUUAUUUUUCUCAAGUUAAUAAUUUUCUUCUUUGUAACUUAUUUAUCUGUGAAUCACUAAUCCUAAGAUACUAAUUAAUCUUCAUGUUUACAAUUUGUAAAUUUGAUUUAUUAUCUCUGAUGGAAUUGUUGAUUGCCAUUUGGUUUUGGGGUUUACGUUUAAUUUCUGUAGAUAAUAAAGGAGGAAGAAGAAGAAGAAGUUGAACCAUGGCGAGAGGAAACGGUACAUUAACUAUCAAAGCUACAGUAACUGACACUUUGUCCAGUUGGGGUAUUAUCUCUGUAGGAUACAUUAGUUUUCUCCAGUGAGCGUCGUAUAAUUGCUGUUAACGAUUGUAGAUUUUAAUUAAUGAUGUGCUUAAUAUACGUUGAUUUACGAAAAUCACAACAAACAUAAUAUAUGUUGUUUCUGAAUUAUGGACAUCCAAGACAAAAGGGAGAGCUAGGAUUUGAUAGGGGUUGUUGCUAUUGCUGUAGUGUUGCAGAAUCAAACCAUGGAUAAAAACAAAAUGACAGAAUUAGUUUAUAUGGUGGUGGAUUCUGCUGCACAAUUCCUACCAGAAUUUUCUUAGUGUUUCUACAUCUAAUUUUUACUGCUUUUAUAAUUGUUCUUCGUUUUGUUUUAUUUUUGCAUUUACGAUUUUAGCGUAAAUGGAAAUCCCUAACCGUAUUCGUGAAACCAAAAUUGCGUUUGAUUGUGUUUGUUUUUCUUUCUUUUUUCUAGAUUUAAUUUUAAUUUGUCUGUGUUUGACUUUUUGGUUUUUAUUCAAAAGAUUUUGUCUGUUUGCUUGAUUUAUCCGUGGAACGAACAUAAGCUAAUAACAAAAAUUUCUUGAUUUUGUUCUGAUUUUGCAGAUGAGGGUCUCCCAUUUCUAACCAGAUGCAUCAAGGUUCUUUGGCCUACACUAUAGACUGGAGGUACAAGCAGAUUUUCAAAAAAGUUGGUAGUCGUGACAAAAGCAGUGAAGACAUGUUUUAAACGAAUAUAUUUGCAUCUACAGUAUUGAUGCAUUCGGAAGGCUCUGAUAUCUUCCAGGUACAUUUUUGUCAUGCUUUCCCAUGCAGAAAACCCUACUCUGAGUAUGUUGUUCCAUGUUGGUUUUGAUCUGCAAACGUUUAUUAGCAGGGGAUUUUACUCUUUGCAGCAUCACCCUUCAACAAAUAUCAGUCACCUCCUUUAAAUUGCUGGUAAAAUUACGUGAAUGUUCUGGUGGACGGCUUUUAUAAAUGUUGAUCAAUUUUCUUCUGUUUAUUUGGACGCCCUAGGACUUGAUGUUUGUAAAAUUUGGUUGUUGUAAACAUUUGUUGUGAUACCCAUAAAUUUGAAGGAAAAAAAAGGAACAGUGCUUAGUAA